rnacentral:lncRNA from 10 species
CUUAACUGCUGCCAGCACAAGUUGGGAAAGGGUUAGGACUGCACUAAGAGGGGUGGAGCAGGCAGUCGCCGGAGGGCCACUUCUGGGCCCCUUGCCUGAACUCACGUGCAGCCGUUCUAGCUGUAACAGACGUUUUCUUAACCUGAGAGCUUCUUUGGAAGGAAAAUGCUUUCUUUGGCCGGACGCGGUGGCUCACCCCUGUAAUCCUAGCACUUUGGGAGGCUGAGGCGGGCGGAUCACGAGGUCAGGAGUUCGAGACCAGCCUGGCCAACAUGGUGAAACCCCAUCUUUACUAAAAAUACAAAAAUUAGCCGAGCUUGGUGGCGUGCGCCUGUAACCCCGCUACUCAAGAGGCUGAGGCUGGCGAAUCGCUUGAACCCGGGAGGCGGAGGUUGCAGUGAGCCGAGAUCGUGCCACAGCACUCCAGCCUGGGCGACAGAGCAAGACUUUGUCUCAAAAAAAAAAAAAAAAAAAAAUGCUUUCUUUCUCUCUAAAGCCUGGACUUAGCGCCUUGCCCAUAGUAAUAGCUGGUAUUCACUAAUUCAACAAAUAUUUAUUGAUAUCGCCUCUUGAGUGAGCUUUAAUAAUUUGUAGAAAUGUCUAAAUUGUUUAAUAAUGCAAAUCUGUUAGCUGUAUUCCUUUAUUGUCCACUUAAUGUCUAUAAAAUCUGACCCCUCAGGUUCUGAAAUUGGUAAUUUGUGUGUCAUCUUUUUUUCUGAUCGAUCUGGUGAGGGGCUUCUCGGUUUACGGAUCUCAAAUCUCAAAGCCCGUUUUUGCUUUCUUGGAUUUUCUCUACUGGUUUUCUG